GACGAACGCUGGCGGCGUGCUUAACACAUGCAAGUCGAACGGAAGGGCCCUGCUAUUGUGGGGUGCUCGAGUGGCGAACGAGUGAGUAACCCGUGAGUAACCUGCCCUUGACUUUGGGGUAACUUCAGGAAACUGAGGAUAAUACAGGAUAGGAGCUCCUGAUGCAUGGUGGGGGUGGGAAAGUUUCGGCGGUGGGGGAUGGACUCGCGGCUUAACAGCUUGUGGGAGGGGUAGAGGAAUACCAAGGCUUGGACGGGUAGCCGGCCUGAGAGGGUAGCCGGCCACAUUGGGCCUACGAUACGGCCCAGACUCCUACUGGAGGCAGCAGUGGCGAAUAUUGCACAAUGGGCGGAAGCCUGUUGCAGCAACGCCCCGUGCGUGAUGACGGCCUUCGAGUGGUAAACCGCUUUCGCCUGUGACGAAGCGUGAGUGACGGUAAUUGGUAAAGAAGCACCGGCUAACUACGUG
rnacentral:rRNA from 1 species